ACAUAGGUCCCCAGAGAAUUUCAAUACGUCUGAUGUCAAGAACGGAAAGUGAGACAGCCAGGUGGAAGGGGGUCCCUGGAGAAUCUCAAACCAGCCUGCGCACUGGGAAUGCGCACUGGAGAGAAAACACAGAAGUUGGUGGUCUUUGCAGCAGCGAGGAGUGCGACUCCUCCUCUUCCUGUGUGGAACCUGGAAUUCAAACGGCUGGGGCCUCACUCACGACAAAGGGAAGUAACCACGCCCCUAAGAAGGCACACCUUUGUUGCAGUUAGUACACAAUUAAAGCAACUCUCCAAGUUUUACCUUAAAGUUCAAAAUUGCUAGGGGUUGAAACUACUAGAAAUGUCUUUACAUGCAAGCCUUUAAUAAUUAAGUAAGGUAUACUCCUGUGAUCAAGACUUUGAGCAUAUUUGUUUCUCUCUGCCUGGUUCCUCUAGAAAUUGGAAACUAUCAGAACACAGACAAACUCCAUUUCCCAAUCCCUUUGCAAUCUGCAUUGAACCAUGAAUCAAGUUCUUGAUAAAGGAGUGAAAAUGGAUGACAUUUAAGGCACAUCUGAAGAUGGGGAAACCACAGCACAGAAAAAGGCUGGGCCCUUGAAUCAAUAAAUGAGGGAGAACUACUCAAGAGAACAAAACCACCAGCAAUAUCCACCUGUAUUUGUCUUUUCAUAAUGUGUGACACAUGUGCUCAUGGAUUAUUGUCCAAAUCAAGUCAUGUGACCAAGCCUAACAUCAACUGGGUGAAGAGCUAUAUGUUCCUUUCUCAAGAGGCACUACAAGUGACAUGCCAAUGGGCAGAUGGAGUCUCAUUCUGUCACCCAGGCUAGAGUGCAGUGCCGCAAUCUCAGCUCACUGCAAGCUCUGACUCCCAGGUUCACGCCAUUCUCCUGCCUCAGCCUCCCAAGUAGCUGGGACUACAGGCACCCACCACCACACCUGGCUAAUUUUUUAUAUUUUUAGUAGAGAAGGGGUUUCGCCGGGAUAGCCAGGAUGGUCUUGAUCUCCUGACCUCAUGAUCUGCCCGUCUUGGCCUCCCAAAGUGCUGGGAUUACAGGUGUGAGCCACCAUGACUGGCCUAACGUAUUUUUAAAACCUGUAGAAUGUUUGUAUUACUUUUGUCAUAGUACAUAACAUUUAAAUGGAUUUCUUGUUUGUGUAUGUAUGUAUAUUCAUUCACUACACUGAUAGUUUUUCUGAAUAUUUCCUUCGGAUUUUAUUCCUUUCUCAUUCAACUAAAUAAGAACUUGCACCAUCUUUUUCUAGUGUAAAAAUUACAGUAUCUGAAGUGAAAUUACUAGAACAAAU
rnacentral:lncRNA from 1 species